rnacentral:rRNA from 1 species
UAACACAUGCAAGUCGAGGGGCAGCAUGGUUUUAGCUUGCUAAGGCCGAUGGCGACCGGCGCACGGGUGAGUAACACGUAUCCAACCUGCCGUCUACUCUUGGACAGCCUUCUGAAAGGAAGAUUAAUACAAGAUGGCAUCAUGAGUCCGCAUGUUCACAUGAUUAAAGGUAUUCCGGUAGACGAUGGGGAUGCGUUCCAUUAGAUAGUAGGCGGGGUAACGGCCCACCUAGUCUUCGAUGGAUAGGGGUUCUGAGAGGAAGGUCCCCCACAUUGGAACUGAGACACGGUCCAAACUCCUACGGGAGGCAGCAGUGAGGAAUAUUGGUCAAUGGGCGAGAGCCUGAACCAGCCAAGUAGCGUGAAGGAUGACUGCCCUAUGGGUUGUAAACUUCUUUUAUAAAGGAAUAAAGUCGGGUAUGGAUACCCGUUUGCAUGUACUUUAUGAAUAAGGAUCGGCUAACUCCGUGCCAGCAGCCGCGGUAAUACGGAGGAUCCGAGCGUUAUCCGGAUUUAUUGGGUUUAAAGGGAGCGUAGAUGGAUGUUUAAGUCAGUUGUGAAAGUUUGCGGCUCAACCGUAAAAUUGCAGUUGAUACUGGAUAUCUUGAGUGCAGUUGAGGCAGGCGGAAUUCGUGGUGUAGCGGUGAAAUGCUUAGAUAUCACGAAGAACUCCGAUUGCGAAGGCAGCCUGCUAAGCUGCAACUGACAUUGAGGCUCGAAAGUGUGGGUAUCAAACAGGAUUAGAUACCCUGGUAGUCCACACGGUAAACGAUGAAUACUCGCUGUUUGCGAUAUACAGCAAGCGGCCAAGCGAAAGCGUUAAGUAUUCCACCUGGGGAGUACGCCGGCAACGGUGAAACUCAAAGGAAUUGACGGGGGCCCGCACAAGCGGAGGGACAUGUGGUUUAAUUCGAUGAUACGCGAGGAACCUUACCCGGGCUUAAAUUGCAGAUGAAUUACGGUGAAAGCCGUAAGCCGCAAGGCAUCUGUGAAGGUGCUGCAUGGUUGUCGUCAGCUCGUGCCGUGAGGUGUCGGCUUAAGUGCCAUAACGAGCGCAACCCUUGUUGUCAGUUACUAACAGGUUCCGCUGAGGACUCUGACAAGACUGCCAUCGUAAGAUGUGAGGAAGGUGGGGAUGACGUCAAAUCAGCACGGCCCUUACGUCCGGGGCUACACACGUGUUACAAUGGGGGGUACAGAGGGCCGCUACCACGCGAGUGGAUGCCAAUCCCCAAAACCUCUCUCAGUUCGGACUGGAGUCUGCAACCCGACUCCACGAAGCUGGAUUCGCUAGUAAUCGCGCAUCAGCCACGGCGCGGUGAAUACGUUCCCGGGCCUUGUACACACCGCCCGUCAAGCCAUGGGAGCCGGGGGUACCUGAAGUGCGUAACCGCGAGGAGCGCCCUAGGGUAAAACUGGUGACUGGGGCUAAGUC